rnacentral:lncRNA from 1 species
UUUCUUCCUUCACAUUCCACCAACUCCUGUUAGUGCCGCUAAGCUGCAAUGUGAAAAUCGGAGCUCGUGGCUUGACUAUAAGCUGCCAAGUUUCUGCAGGUACCUUGGUGUAAGCAUCUAAAUCCCAAAUGGCUGUUGUGGUUUCAAACAAGAAGAAAAAUCCCGCGAGUUAAGAGGAAAUGGUUGUGGUGGGUGUUGAAUGUUGGAUCGUGAUAUUAGGCGAUAAUUGUCUCCAAAAAUUCCUCGAAUGUGAAUGAGAAAUCAAAUUCAGAACCCAGAAGAGAACAUGGCUGAAGAAUAUCUAGGAUUUGGGGUGUAAUUAGGAUUGAGAGUGGUGGUUGAUGUGUUUGUAACAGCGGCAGGAGCUGGAUUUUGUGGGUUGCUGCCUGCUGGUAUUGGGAGCAAUGGUGGACAGGUGGGAUAUUGGUGACUUGGUGGUGAUGGCGGAUUCUGACAGAAACGAUGAGAGAAUGGUGACAUGGUGAAGGAAAUAGGUCGUUGACAGAGGAGGGAGCCGGUGAUUGAAGAAGUGGCGGCGAUGCGUGAUUUGUGGUGGAAGCAGGCCAGCGGUGAGGAAUUAGGCGGUGGUGGCUGCAAACGUUGUGAUAUUUAGUGUGUAGGGGAGACGAUUUGUGGUUUGAUUAGAUUUGUUUGUAAUGGGCUGUUGUACUAGGAACGGGCAGGACUUGUGUAUAGAAAUGGGCUGUAUGAUUAUGAUUUGAUUUAGUAGCUUUUAUAAUAUUUUCUUAGAUGAUUUGAAACCCUACAUAAAGGGGGGGUCAUGCAAUGUAAUCAGGACAAUUUUUUAUUAUGAAAUAAAUUGAUUUCUU